AGAACUGUCCCACCACCACUAUCAAACACCAUAACCCCCAAACCUCCAACCAAACAACCACCAUCUCCUACCAAACAACCCUAGAUUUGCACCUCCAUAACCAAACCAACAAACUCAGAUCCCCUGAACAAUAAUUACCCUAAAACCCAUCAACGAUGCAAACCUACAAACACAUAUCUUCCUUCUCUCUCUCUUAGAUUUGCGCUUUCUCUCUCUUAGAUCCACGUUUUCUCUCGCUCAGAUCGGUCGCUCUCUAAAAUUUGCACACUCUCUCUCAGAUGUGCUAUCUCUCGCUAAGAUCUGCGCUAUCCUACCUCUUCCACCAUGUUGUCAUCAGCGUGUCCCCAACAGGAUUAGUCCCCUGGAGCACCUGACCACCACAACAUCGUCGUCUCCUUUGAAUGUCGCUUAUUG
rnacentral:lncRNA from 1 species